rnacentral:snRNA from 1 species
GUGCUUGCUUCGGCAGCACGUAUACUAAAACUGGAACGAUACAGAGAAGAUUAGCAUGGCCCCUCCGCAAGGAUGACAUGCAAAUUCGUGAAGCGUUCCGUAUUUUU